rnacentral:rRNA from 1 species
CUCGUGUCGUGAGAUGUUGGGUUAAGUCCCGCAACGAGCGCAACCCUUGUCCUUAGUUGCCAGCCUUAAGUUGGGCACUCUAGGGAAACUGCCCGUGAUAAGCGGGAGGAAGGUGUGGAUGACGUCAAGUCCUCAUGGCCCUUACGGGUUGGGCUACACACGUGCUACAAUGGCAGUGACAAUGGGUUAAUCCCAAAAAACUGUCUCAGUUCGGAUUGGGGUCUGCAACUCGACCCCAUGAAGUCGGAAUCGCUAGUAAUCGCGUAACAGCAUGACGCGGUGAAUACGUUCCCGGGCCUU